UUAGCACCGGUGGCCGCAUUCUUGAUUCAUUUAGGAGUUCAUUGACUCCUCGGUUGGUGCAAAGUCUUGUUUGUGUUCAAGAUUGGUUUAGAUGUGAGGGUACUCCUAUUAAUGUUGAAGAAGAUUUGGAGUUUCUUGAGCAAAUUGAACUUGAUAUGGCAACGAGCGGAAGAGAAACUUGCAUUGUUGAAAGAGAUAAUAGCAUUGUUGAUGCAUAGUUUGAACAAGUGGUUCAACUAUGCCUCGUGGUCCUAAAGCUAGAUCGCCUAUUUGGGAAUAUUUUGAACUAGUUAAAGUAAAUGAAGAAGCCCGCAAAGCAAAGUGCCUUCAUUGUGGUCGAGUUUAUA